CGCUAGGACGAACGCUGGCGGCGUGCCUAACACAUGCAAGUCGAACGGACGAGGGGAGCUUGCUCCCCAAGUUAGUGGCGGACGGGUGAGUAACACGUGAGCAACCUGCCCUUCGGAGGGGGACAACAGCGGGAAACUGCUGCUAAUACCGCAUAACGUAUCCUGGAGGCAUCUCCGGGAUACCAAAGAUUUUAUCGCCGAAGGAUGGGCUCGCGUCUGAUUAGAUAGUUGGCGGGGCAACGGCCCACCAAGUCUACGAUCAGUAGCCGGACUGAGAGGUUGAACGGCCACAUUGGGACUGAGAUACGGCCCAGACUCCUACGGGAGGCAGCAGUGGGGAAUAUUGGGCAAUGGGGGGCAACCCUGACCCAGCAACGCCGCGUGGAGGAAGAAGGCUUUCGGGUUGUAAACUCCUUUGACGAGGGACGAUAGUGACGGUACCUCGAAAACAAGCCACGGCUAACUACGUGCCAGCCGCGGC
rnacentral:rRNA from 1 species